AUCUAAACCAAGAAUUUUUUAAAGGUCAGAAUACUGAUCAUGUUUUCUUACCAUAAUUACAUUUUUUCAUUUUAAACUUGAAAUACAGUAUUACAUUCCAUACAGUGUGCAUGUAAUAUUUGUGUUUGUGUGUUUAAAGGUUUACAGCAUUGCAUCCUGAAGAGAGGCCAUGAUGUUUUCUUAGCCACUUUUGAAAAUGCCUAAGAAAGACCCCAAGAAGGACGCAAAGAAGGGCGGAAAACCAGAACCAGAGAAAAAGAAAGAGGAGGAAAAGAAAGGCAAGGAUGACAAAAAAGGAGGAAAAGAGGAAAAGAAACCCAGCAAGGAUGAUAAGAAAGGUGGAAAGGAUGAUAAGAAAGGAGAUAAAGAUGAUAAGAAAGGGGGAAAGAAGGGAAAGGAGGAGCCACCCAAGGGAAAGGAUGAUGGAAAGAAAGGAAAAGACAAAGGGAAAGGUAAGAAAGUGGAGUCUGAGGAGGAUGAGGAGGAGCUCCUGAGUGAUGAGGAAGAGGACGAAGAGUUUAGUGAAGAAGAGUCCGAGGAGGAAGACUCAGAGGAUGACAGGAGAGGGAAGGGGCGAGGAGGCAAGGCGACUAAGGGAAAGAAAGGGGGGAAGUCUAGACGUGGGGACUCAGAUGAGGAUGAUGAGGAUGAAGAAGAGGAGGAUGAAGACUACGAAGAGGAUGGCGGCAAAUCCAAAAAGAAAUCUAAAGAUGGCCACCACCAUAAAGGAGCGACAUCUGAUGCUGAUGCAAAGAAAAAGAAAGGUAAAAAAAAAGAGGAAGCUCCGCAGCUUCCCAUAAAGGAAAUCCCAAAGAAAGGUCUGAAGAACAUGUCUAGGAUGUUCAUGAAGUUUUCUGGCUUCAAGAGGCGCAGGAACAGCAGGAAGAAGCUGAAAAGUACAUCACGUUUGUUCCUGGGAUUGGGGAGGAGAAAAACCCGCCUUGCUAAGAAGAAACGCCGCAAGUCCAUGCUGAAGAACACCUCUCGAUUCAUGAUGAGGUUUAAGCGCAGCAAAAAUAAUAAAAAAGAGAAGGAGGCCAAAGCGAAGGCGGAGAAAAAUGGUGGAAAGAAGCCAACCUACAUGCUGCUUCGUCUGGGAGGAGGAAAUGAAUCAAAUGAAAAGAAAGGGGGCUUCUUCAAAAACAUGUUUGGAAAAAAGAACGGUGACGGGCCUCCUGACGACUUCAAGAACAGAAGUGCGUUGCUGGGUAAGGUCGCAGCGGCAACUAACUGGUUGACCAAGCGCUUCCUGUCCACUAAAAUGCAAGAAAAUGCAGGACACCAUGGCUGGAACGGACAUAGACAUAACCGAAAAGCCAGCUCCAGAGGUCGUCUAAAUGGUUACUAUAACAAUGGUUAUGAGAAUGGGGAGGAGGCUUAUGGAUACGACCAGCAACAUUCAGGCAUCCAGAAAGAUUAUGGAGGCUAUGAUGAUGGCUAUGGUGGUUAUGGAGAUGAGGCAACUGCAGCAUAUGGAAGCCAGGGUCAGUAUGGUUACUAUGACAAUGGAGCAGGGGUUGCAGACUAUCAAGACUUGGGUUACUAUGAGGAAGAAGGACUCUAUGAUCCAAAUGCAGAAUAUUAUCAAGUAGGUCUUCAUGAUGAUGGCAUGGGGGACUACUAUAACCCUUAUUCUGCCCAAGGCUACUAUAACAACCAGGAAGCUGAUUACUAUGAUGACCAACAACAACAACAACAACAGGCAAUGGCAAUGUAUGGUGACGAGGGUCAGGGCUACUAUGCACAAAUGGGUGAGGAUGGAUUCCUUGACCCUCAAGCUCAGGGUUAUUUUGAUGAAAAUGUUCAAGGAG
rnacentral:lncRNA from 1 species